UGGGGAAUAUUGCACAAUGGCGCAAGCCUGAUGCAGCAACGCCGCGUGAGGGAAGACGGUUUUCGGAUUGUAAACCUCUGUCAUUAGUGACGAAGAAGUGACGGUAGCUAAUGAGGAAGCCACGGCUAACUACGUGCCAGCAGCCGCGGUAAUACGUAGGUGGCGAGCGUUAUCCGGAAUUACUGGGUGUAAAGGGAGCGCAGGCGGGAUAGCAAGUCAGCGGUGAAAUGCAUGGGGCUUAACCCAUGAGCUGCCGUUGAAACUGUUAUUCUUGAGUGUCGGAGAGGUAGACGGAAUUCCUAGUGUAGCGGUGAAAUGCGUAGAUAUUAGGAGGAACACCAGUGGCGAAGGCGGUCUACUGGACGAUAACUGACGCUGAGGCGCGAAAGCGUGGGGAGCAAACAGGAUUAGAUACCCUGGUAGU
rnacentral:rRNA from 1 species